rnacentral:tRNA from 1 species
GGAGGUGUGGCCGAGCGGUUGAAGGCAGCAGUCUUGAAAACUGCAGCCCUCGCAAGGGGGCCGUGGGUUCGAAUCCCACCACCUCCU